CAAACAGUAAUUCAAAGGGGUUAUUAAGGAAAAACUAGCAAAUUUAUAAAAAAGGAGGGCACAAGUCCAAAAGCCACAAUUUACCGAAAGGUGAUCAAGUUUCAUUAGAUUUAUUUAAUGUUGACAAAGAAUGUAGGCGAUCCUAAGGGAAACCUUUAUAUUUAAACUUCCCGAAGUAAAACAUUUCAUUAGGGAAAGGAAAGGAAAUCAACCGAGACUCCGAAAGUAAUGGCGAGUGAAAUCGGACUAGCCUUUAUUUAAAAAUAAAUUUAACAAAAAUACACACCAGAAACCAAAGAAGGUAAAACAGUCCUGUAUGUUAAAUCUUUUUAAAACUAAUGUUUAAAUAAGUAUUAUUAAAUUAAAAUUUAUUUAAAUAAUGAGUACGACGAGAGCGAACUUGUCGGAAUAUAGGGGAACCAUCCUCUAAGGCUAAGUAUUUAUAAAUUUAGCGAUAGUGAAAAGUACCGUGAGGGAAAGUUUGAAAUAGUUAUGUAAUUUUAGACAUAAAUGAAAUAGUUGAAUUAGUAACUCUAUAAGCAGUCGAAAUUUAUAAUUAUAAAUGACGGCGUACCUUUUGCAUAAUGGGUCAGCAAGUUAAUAGGAGUAGCAAGGUUAAAAGCCUUAGUGAAAGCGACCACACUAACUAGCUAAAAGUAUUCUUAAUUUCAUAGAUAUUAAGAAUAGGAUAUCCUUCAUAGUCAUAAGGCUAAGAAGUUAAAUAUUUUCUAGGAAUAUAGUGAUGGGUAAGUUACUUCUAUUAGACCCGAAGCUAGGUGAUCUUCCUAAGACCAGAUUAUAAUGGAUCGAACGGGUGAAUGUAGCAAAAUUCUCCGAAGAGUUUUAGGAAGCGGUGAAAUGCCAAUCUGACCUAGUGAUAGCUGGUUUUCUACGAAACAUAUGUAAGUAUGACAUCUAAACAAAAUUUAUGGUGGUACAGCACUGAGUUCCCAACUAUUUCUUUUUUUUAAAGAAAAGUUUAGGUUGCGGGGACGUCGAAAAUCUUACCAAUGGAAGAGAAUCUCGGAAUGACAUAAAUUGAUGAUAGAUAUUCAGACUGCUCAUGCGAAGUUGGGUAGUCAAGACGGAAACAGCCGAGAACACGAAACAAGGUCCCAAAUGAUUUUUAAGUGAAAUGAAGGAAGUAAUAUAUUGAAUGCAGCUGUAAAGUGAGCCUGGUAGUCGCUAUCUUUUAAUAAACGUAAUGUAACAACGUAGCAGCCUUAAACAAUAGAAUAUUACACCAAAAAUUUAACGGGUCUCAAAAAAUCAACCGAUAUCGUGUUUAUUUUGAAUAAUAAAAAUUAAUAUUCAAUAUACAGGUAGUAGAACAUUCAGUAUACUGAUGAUAAAACAGUGUUUCAUUGUUUUUAGGUCACUGAAGAGAGAAUGCUGACAUGAGUAACGUAAAAAGAAGUUAUAAUACUUCUCGCCGAAUACGAAAGGGUUGUAAGGAAAGGUUAAACCACCUUAUGUUAAUGCGGCCUCUAAGGAACAAAACCAAAGUUUUGUCUGAUGAGUAUGAAUUAGAAAGUCCAUUUUUAAAAAUAAAAAUUUAAUAAAGGGACCAGGAAAAGAAUAUAUUCUUAACUACCGUACCCUAAACCGACACAGGUUCGUAAGUAGAGUAUACUAAGGCGUAGAGCUAAAAGUUGUUAAGGAACUCGGCAAGUUCUCCUCAUAAGUUUGACGAUAAGAGGAACCCGAUAAGGGUGGCACAAAAUCGGAGGCCCCGACUGUUUACUAAAAACACAAUUCAGAGCAAUGAUGAAAAAUCAUAGUAUUCUGGAUGAAAUUUGCCCAAUGCCAUUAACAUAAAAGAGGUUAUGGGUAACUGUAACUGAUUGAAAGUCUGGUUAAUAGCGGUCUUAACUAUGAGGAUCCAAAGGUAGCAAAAUAAAUUGGCCAUUAAAUGUGGUCUGGUAUCAAUAGUGUAACGAUGGUCUCACUGUCUCUACAACUUGCUCAGUGAAAUUGAAUUACCCGUGCAGAUGCGGGUUGCCUCCAGGUGGACGGGAAACUUAAAUUAUAUCUGGAAUUAAAUUAAAAUGCGACUAGCUAAGUUUACUAUAAUAAUGUUGUGUAAACCAACCAGAUAACCCAUUAUCUGAGCUCAAACAGCAUGUUUUCGGAGUAAUCCUAAAUCAUGAAGCCUGUUUAUAUGUAAUUAUUCAAUAUGGGAAAAGUAUUUAAAUUGAAUAUCUCAUAUAAGAGCUAGAUACCUAUGAACAAUGUAAUGUGAAUUCACGUCAGAAGCGGUAUGAUUGAUUGUAGAAAGACGUUCCCGUGUUUUUCUUAAUGGGUCUAAAUGUCUCAUAGCGUAUAGUGGAGUUCUAAGGGUAUCAUUAAAGUAUUAUAGUAAAAACUAGGUAAGCCCAAUAAUAACCAAUUUACAAGAAUUAUAAAUUGGAGGUUUAUCUGCGAAGAUAAAUAACUAUUAGUGGGUAUAGGAUAUUCAAAAAAGCUAAAGCCUUGUUGUAAUUACAAGGAUAGGUUCAGUUGAACUAACCUUAAAGGGUGCUGACUUUGAAUUAGUGUUAAGUUAUAAUUGUUAAAAAUUUUAUUAGAAGUAAUAAAACUUAAAAAUUUUUCAUUCUAGUACCAGCUCCAAUUAAUCCAGAGUAGGUUAAUCUUACUCCAAUGUGUUUAGUAUGCUAUAACAUAUUUUAAUAAAAAAACUAUGGAUAAUGAUGAAUAGAAAUUUUACUAAACCUAAUAAAAAUUUAAUACCUUGGCAGGUUACAGGAUUAACAGAUGGUGAAGGAUCAUUUGUUUAUUCUAUAACUAAUACAGGUAAAGGCUCAACAGGCCAAAAAAUAAGUUUAGAAUUUAAAGUAACACAAAAAACACAUUCAGAAGGAGUACUUUAUGAACUUAAAGAAUAUUUUGGGUGUGGGAACGUAGUUAUAGAUAAUAGAAAAACAGAUACAAAAAAAUUUCAUAUUAAUUCUUUAAAACUUCUUUUAGAAAAAGUAAUACCUCAUUUUGAUGAGUAUCCUUGUCUUACUUCUAAAGAAUUAAAUUAUAAAGAUUGGAAAAAAAUUUGUCUUAUCAUGAGUAAAAAAGAACAUUUAAACUUAACAGGAAUGGAAGAAAUAAAUAAAAUAGUUUUACUAAUGAAUAAAAAUAGAUCUUUUGAAGAUAAAUAUAAUCACUGUAAAUCUUUUUUAGGUUUAUCUGAUUUAGAAGUCAAAUAUGAUUUACCAGAUAAUUGGGUACAAGGAUUUUUAACAGGUGAAGGUUUAUUUUAUCAUUAUUUAAAUGGUACUGUAAUUAACCCUUCUCUUGAAUUAGGUCAAAAUAGUCAUGAUGUAGCUAUUUUAAUAGCUCUUAAAAAAUUUUUCAAUGGUGGUUAUAUAAAACCUAAAUAUAAAUUUAAUGAUUUAGAAGAAUGUAAAAAUUCAAGAUCUCUAAAUAGAUUUAUUUUAAGAAACACAGAAACUAUUAUCCAGUUUGUGGAUAAAUAUCCUAUGUUAACUAGAAAACAUCUAGAUUACGAAGAUUGGAAAAAAGUUGUAGAAUUAAAAAAUAAAGGUUUACAUAAAACUGAAGAAGGUUUAGCUUUAAUAAAUGAAAUAGUAUCAAAAAUGAAUUCUAAAAGAGAUUCAGAUUAUAAUCCCUAGCUUAAAAUUUUAAACAAUUAUAAUAAACUUAAUGCUUGAGCUGUAUGCGAUGAAAGUCGCACGUACAGUUCUUAGAGGAUGUCAAAGUUGUAAAACUUGGCGGAGCCUCAACAGACCCUAUGCAGCUUUACUGUAGUUAGCUAUCAUAUUGAUCUACAACAACCUUAGUUAAUAGUAAUUAGGGAUGUCGAAUUGACGAAAGAUGGAAUACCUUCUGACUUUGGUUGGGUUAAUAUUUACCUUUUUAAGUAAAAUAUUAUAUAUGACUCAAAAUUUUCUUUUGUUUAUUCUAUUCAUAUUCUGUUAUAUAGUGUAAUAUGGUAUAAAGCUUAUAAGGGAUAGGUGGCUAAUUGGCAGUUUGACUGGGGCGGUCGUCUUUGAUAAAGUAGCAAAGUACAUCCAAAGAUAUUUAUUUAUUAGAAACAAUCUUUUUUUAAAAAGAUACUUACUAAAAAUUCAUAGUAUCUAUAUAAACUAUGAAGAAUAUAAUUUAUUAUAUUUUUAUUAACUUAAGGUAUAGCUAGAAAAUUGAAUGGAAAUCAAUCAACCAGUGUGAAAGGUUGUAAUAGGCGUAAUGGCGGAAAGCAUGCCUAACUGAAAGACUUAGAAGUCGAACAGAUACGUAAGUAGGGCAUAGUGACCCUUCGCUAUAUUAUGGAAUAGACGGGGAUCAAUCGAUAAAAGUUACGCUAGGGAUAACAGGCUGAUAGCUGGUGAGAGUACACAUUGUCCCGGCUGUUUGGCACCUUGGAUAUAUUAUAUUAAAUUUAUAAAUACCACAUAAAAGAAUCAGUAUCUCAUUAUUUUGUUUGCUUCGAGCAAGAGAUAGUUCUUAAAAUUAUAAGAGCCCAAUUAUUUUAAUAAUUAAUCUAAAAUGAAUAAACCUAUAAUUGAAAUGUUAGUAGGAAAUCUUCUAGGAGAUGCCUCUAUCAAAAAAACAGUAUCUGGUAAAGCUUAUAUAACAUUUGAACAGUCUAUAAAAAAAUCUGAUUAUUUAAAUCACUUGUAUGAGCUAGUAAAAAGUAGUGGAAUACCUUUAAAAAAAGAAUCUCCUACUGUUUACUCUAGAGACGAUGAUAGAUUUGGAACUACAAAUAAAUCAUUAUAUUUUAGAACUGAGGCAGUAGAAGAAUUAAAACCUUUAGCCGAUUUAUUCUUGGAUGAAUCUGGGAAAAAAAUAAUACCUAGAAAUAUUUCUGAGUAUUUAACAGAAAAAGGCUUAGCUCAUUGGAUCAUGGAUGAUGGCCAAAGAGUAAAAAGAGGAGGUGUAACUUUAUGUACCGAUAGUUUUAACUCGGAAGAAGUAAGCAUACUUAGAGAUGCUUUAAAAAUUAAUUUUAAUUUUAAUACUUCUAUUCAUAAUAAAACAUCUAGCAAUGGAUCGGUUUAUGAAAGAAUAUAUAUAAAGAAAGAAUCUUUAGAUUCAAUUAUACCAACAUUGAAUACGCAUAUGCAUGAUUCAAUGCUUUAUAAAAUAAACUUAGAUAGAGUUUUUAGACAAGAUACUGAAGGCUUUAUAAGUGAUUCAGAUGUCAUAACUGAUAUAGAUAUGUUUGACGUUUAAAUUUAUAAUCUUAAUAAGCAAAUAUACAUCGGGGACUAUAAAUAGAAAUGUUUAUAUAAAAAUUGGCUAUAUGCUGGAACCCCCUAAAGCUUUAAGUACUCAUUUAUUUUUAUAAAUUGUAAUAAUCUUAAAGAUUGGGCAAUCAGCAGGGAAGUUACCUUUUUAGGUUAUAGCAACUGUAAAAUUUGUAACCCCUCAACGACUACACGCCAACACCCAGAGCUAACAUAAAGGUAUUCUUAUGCUGGGUGAAGAUAUAGUCUAAUCUUAACCGAAAGAUUAAGCCCAUCCUCAUAUGAGGUGGGAGUAUAUAUUUUAUAUACUAAUAUUGCGAUGUCGACUCAACCUAUCCUCCGGGGGUAGAAGCUUGGAAGGGUUCGGCUGUUCGCCGAUUAAAAGGUUACGCGAGUUGGGUUUAAUACGACGUGAGUCAGUAUGGUCCCUAUCUUCUGGAGGGAUAAAUAGUAAAAAGGGGCAGACCUUCUAGUACGAAAGGAUCAAUAGGCUGUGUUUCUCUAGUGUACCAAUUGUAAUUCUCUAUUCUAAAAAUUUUUAAAGGAUUAAAGAAAGAUUAAAGCAUAGUUGGGUAGCCACAAACAUGAUAGAUAAGCGCUGAAUGAAUAUUAAGCAGGAAGCUAUCCCCUAGAUACUAUCUUAUUGAUUAUCUUUUUAAUUGAUAUUUUAUUAGUUUUCUUUUUAAUCAAUGUGAAUAAGAAAUAGAACAUUUCUAAAUAGGAUGCAAAUGAAAGUGCUGUAA
rnacentral:rRNA from 1 species